UUCGAUUAACGCGAAGAACCUUACCCAGGCUGGACAUGCAGGUAGUAGAAGGGUGAAAGCCUAACGAGGUAGCAAUACCAUCCUGCUCAGGUGCUGCAUGGCUGUCGCCAGCUCGUGCCGUGAGGUGUUGGGUUAAGUCCCGCAACGAGCGCAACCCCUGUCUUCAGUUACCAACGGGUCAUGCCGGGAACUCUGGAGAGACUGCCCAGGAGAACGGGGAGGAAGGUGGGGAUGACGUCAAGUCAGCAUGGCCUUUAUGCCUGGGGCUACACACGUGCUACAAUGGCCGGUACAAAGGGCUGCGAUACCGCAAGGUGGAGCGAAUCCCAAAAAGCCGCUCUCAGUUCGGAUUGGAGUCUGCAACUCGACUCCAUGAAGUUGGAAUCGCUAGUAAUCCCGGAUCAGCACGCCGGGGUGAAUACGUUCCCGGGCCUUGUCACACCGAAUCACUA
rnacentral:rRNA from 1 species